AACGAACGCUGGCGGCAGGCUUAACACAUGCAAGUCGAACGGGUGUAGCAAUACAUCAGUGGCAGACGGGUGAGUAACACGUGGGAACCUUCCUAGAGGUACGGAACAACUCAGGGAAACUUGAGCUAAUACCGUAUACGCUCUUGCGAGGAAAGAUUUAUCGCCUUUAGACGGGCCCGCGUCGGAUUAGCUAGUUGGUGGGGUAACGGCCUACCAAGGCGACGAUCCGUAGCUGAUCUGAGAGGAUGAUCAGCCACACUGGGACUGAGACACGGCCCAGACUCCUACGGGAGGCAGCAGUGGGGAAUCUUGGACAAUGGGCGCAAGCCUGAUCCAGCCAUGCCGCGUGAGUGAAGAAGGCCUUC
rnacentral:rRNA from 1 species